rnacentral:rRNA from 1 species
CCUACGGGUGGCAGCAGUGGGGAAUAUUGGACAAUGGGCGAAAGCCUGAUCCAGCCAUGCCGCGUGUGUGAAGAAGGCCUUCGGGUUGUAAAGCACUUUCAGUGGGGAAGAAAGCCUUGGGGCUAAUACCCUCGAGGAAGGACAUCACCCACAGAAGAAGCACCGGCUAACUCCGUGCCAGCAGCCGCGGUAAUACGGAGGGUGCGAGCGUUAAUCGGUAUUACUGGGCGUAAAGCGCGCGUAGGCGGUCUGAUAAGCCGGUUGUGAAAGCCCCGGGCUCAACCUGGGAACGGCAUCCGGAACUGUCAGGCUAGAGUGCAGGCGAGGAAGGUAGAAUUCCCGGUGUAGCGGUGAAAUGCGUAGAGAUCGGGAGGAAUACCAGUGGCGAAGGCGGCCUUCUGGACUGACACUGACGCUGAGGUGCGAAAGCGUGGGUAGCAAACAGGAUUAGAUACCCUUGUAGUC